rnacentral:rRNA from 1 species
AGAGUUUGAUCAUGGCUCAGGAUGAACGCUAGCGGCAGGCUUAAUACAUGCAAGUCGUGGGGCAGCAGGGUUGUAGCAAUACAAUCGCUGGCGACCGGCAAACGGGUGCGGAACACGUACACAACCUUCCUUUAAGUGGGGGAUAGCCCAGGGAAACUUGGAUUAAUACCCCGUAAUAUAUAAAGACGGCAUCGUUUUUAUAUUAUAGCUCCGGCGCUUAAAGAUGGGUGUGCGGCUGAUUAGAUAGUUGGCGGGGUAACGGCCCACCAAGUCGACGAUCAGUAACUGGUGUGAGAGCACGACCAGUCACACGGGCACUGAGACACGGGCCCGACUCCUACGGGAGGCAGCAGUAAGGAAUAUUGGUCAAUGGACGCAAGUCUGAACCAGCCAUGCCGCGUGGAGGAUGAAGGUCCUCUGGAUUGUAAACUUCUUUUAUCUGGGAAGAAAUCCACUUUUUCUAGAGUGGUUGACGGUACCAGAUGAAUAAGCACCGGCUAACUCCGUGCCAGCAGCCGCGGUAAUACGGAGGGUGCAAGCGUUAUCCGGAUUCACUGGGUUUAAAGGGUGCGUAGGUGGGCAAGUAAGUCAGUGGUGAAAUCUCCGGGCUUAACCCGGAAACUGCCAUUGAUACUAUUUGUCUUGAAUACUGUGGAGGUCAGCGGAAUAUGUCAUGUAGCGGUGAAAUGCUUAGAUAUGACAUA